AGGAGAAGGUGCUCACACAAACUUGGGCUACCAGUGGCACUUGUUAGUUCUUCAGCUAAAUUGAUAUGCAGUCAAUUAAGUUCCACAUUUGAAAUUGCAUCAGAAGUACGGAAAGGAAAAGCUGCCAACUGCAGGAUGAAGCUCAAGGAGAUGGAAGAGUCACAUGACAGAGUAACCCUGGUCCUGAAUGACCACAUAGAGCCAAGACAGAGGGAGAAAUCUUUUGUUAUAUGAAACCACUGAAAUUUUUAACUAAUGUGAGCAGGGACACUGUUGUAUCUCCCACAUACUAGCAUUCAACUGAAAACCACAAUAAUAAUAAAGCCC
rnacentral:lncRNA from 1 species